GCAACCAUGUUCAUGAUGGCUGCAGACGCCAAUGUGUCGAGUCCAUUUAGCUCAUUGUCGGCAGCGUUUUGAGAGAUUUCGGCAUGUUAUUAGCAUUAGUCAGUGUUCAAGAAAACACCUACGCGCUUCGCCAAAUAAGAAGAACGUAGCGCAUCGGCGUAUUGUUCUAGGACUCACCGGAUGCUCACGGAGAGACUGAGAGCGGCCUUCCAUUAGCACAAGAGGGAAUGAACAAGGCGGCUCCAGUCCCUGGUAUUGCUGAAUCCGUGGGCGACAUCAAACGACGCUAUGAGGACACGGCACAAGUGCUGUUCUUGGAACGUCGAGAGAAACAGCGUCCUUCGAGUUUUCUCUCCUACGGAGAGACGAAGAAGUGCUACGCAUACAGUGGCACGGGAAAACCGUACGUCGAUGUAAAGGAAGGAGUUCGUGCCGACCAGCAGUCAUUUCAGAGUCAGAUUUGCAGCAUCAUGUAGUGGUGGUGGCCUAGCAAUGCAGUCGUCACAGUGACCAAAAAUAUAGGGGCCCGAAGGCAGCACGUUUCUUCUCUUUUUUUUUAUUUGUUCCUUUUUUUGGAAUGGGAGCAUACUACUGACACAGUUCCGCCCAGUUGUGAUCCACGGCCUGCAGCGUUUUUUGCCAGGCCCAAUCUAGUCUUUCUUGUGGAACUGUUCACUCGAUGUUUUAAUUUCGCAGGCCCAUCUCUUUGAGUUAUACAAGCCAUGCAAGCAUUGAAUCGAUGCCACUGUGUGUUUGGUGACCUGUUAUAACUGAUAUGUAGACGUUUGAUUGCUACAACAGACACUUGUGUGCCGUCUAGACCAGGCAAUGCCACUAUGUUUUAUUUUUAUUUUCAUCAAUGUAAAAAGUUGUUUCCCGAGCACCUUUUACAACUUUCUGCACAUGGUAUGUUAUAUAGUGUAAUGUAGUGCUUAAAAUGCAAAUCGCAACUCUUUUUUAGUCUCAUGAUCCUCAGUUUGUGUCCUUUUAAAUAGAGCAAUGACAGUAUUUCUUUCUGUAUAUGUUACAACGUGAAAAGGGGGUGUUCAUCCCCAUUUGUUUUUCUGUUGUGAAGCUUUGUAUGUGUACCGAAAUGAAGCCACUGUGAAAUGAACUCCAAGGACCAAAACUAAAUGGACCACAGUUCUGCAAUGGGUGUGCACUGGCAUGUGGCCAACAUAGGAGUUAGAGCGUAAACAUGGGAGUUAGAGCGUAAGCGUGUCAUGCCGUGACUCUGGUGUGCUUAUGCAUGAGCAUAACAUGUUCCUUAAACCCCAUGAGACCAUGUGAUAGUGCUACCUAGAUUUCAAAGCGGUGUGCUGCUUACCUCAUAGUACAAGUGAAAUGUGUAUUCUUGGUCUAACAGUGUGGGUGGGGCACGCGAGCUUUGUAAAACACAAACACGUGCUGCUGCUGUAAAGAUGUGAGGUGAAGUGGUGGGAGCACACAGUGGAAUAGAUGCACAAACUGGGGUAAGGUGCUUCGGACACCUUAUGCCUGUUUUUGCAGCUUUUAUUUCAUGCUGUUACUGUGGUCAGUUGAAAAAAAGAAGUGAAUGCAUGUCCCUUUGUGUAAGUUGAAACAGUAGUACGGAAAGCCGAGCUAGUUGGUACGAAUGCAUAGUGCAAUAGCGCAAGAAACACAGGGACACAGGCUCUCUUGCCUGUGUCCCUGUGUUUCUUGCGCUAUUGCACUAUGAAGUUGAAACAGUUAGUAAUAUAGGCUGGGAAAAAAAGUGUGAAGCUAUUGCUUCUUGGUAAUAUUCACACACGUUGGUGUCGCUGUAGCAAGCAUUAUUGUGAAAUGUGUUGCUUGCGUAUGAAAAAAAAAAAAAAAAAACUUACCGGGUCUAGUUGCACCUUUCCUUGAAAGCUGUGUUGUACAAGCAGGGUGGUGAGGAAAAUUGCCCAAAGUGGAAUCGUUGUGCUGUGCAUUGUAAGUUAUCCAAAAGUAGCCCCUAAGGUGCCAAUAAGCUAUUACGAUUGCAUUUGUCUUUGCCUCAAGGUGCUUUCAAAGUUUUUUUCUACAGAAUGAUUGUCCAGUUGUCACCACCAUUAUGCACAGAAAAAGAAAAAGGCUAUUGAGCUGCAGUUUCAUGUACAAAAUUAACUUCAGGGGUUUGACGUGCCAAAACCACGAUGCGGUUAUGAGGCACGCUGUGAUGGGGGAGACUCUGGACUAAUUUCGUCCACCUGGGGCUCCUUAAUUUGUACAGGUGUUCUUCCAUUUCGCCCCAUUGAAAUGUGGCUGAUGUGGCCAGGAAUCAAACCCCUGCUCUCAAGCUUAGCCACGCAAUACCUUACCUCCUAAGCUAGCAUGCCAGGUGUGCAUGAAAUAGUGUUGAGGGACAAGGCGAAGCAUUAGUGUAAAAGAGCUGCUAACCUUUUACAACGAUCAUUCGCUGUAGGCCACCCCAUGGUUCAAUCGUGGAACUGGGAUAUUUUGCUACUGUACGGAAGCUUAGACGAGACACCUUUCAAGUGCAUGACGGCUGCCUGCCAUCUCCCUUCCCAUUUCCACCAACUCGAUAGGGAGCCCUCGGCAAGCCCUGUUGAAAAUUUAGGCAAUGCACUAGGAGCCUUGUGAAGGGCCAUUAAAGGGGUCAUGAAUCACUUUUCCAAGUAAUGAUCUAAUGACCUCAGUAUCGGAGUUUACUGCCCCCCAAAUCGAUUGCCACAAAAAUUUCUCGAAUCCGUCAAGAAUGAGCGAAGUUACGGGGUUUGGGCGCAUGCUCUCAGCGCUUUCUCUCCUUUCUCGUGCUGACGAGCGCACUGGAAGCUACAUGGGGAGGGAUGGCAUGAGGGAAAGAAGUUACGUCAGCGCGCACGUCGUGAAACGCGAUCGCUCUCCCGCUGUGAUUCGCGAGCGUGGCUACCGUGUACUGAGGAGUGCGGCGCCGGCAAGUGGCGGCACCCCGUGGCAAGAAGCGCAUCUGAUCCGAACGCCACUCUCGAUUUACGUCGGCUAUCGGCCAAUGAGGAUGCUAUGUCUUUUGCGACGCGGCGAUGCAGAUCGCGACGUCAAUCGGCAGACGCCCCGCCCACCGACGAGAGUGAGAACCGGCCUCUGUUUGAAAAGAGGGCGCCUGAGAAAACAGCAACUUCGCGUUCCGCUUGUAGCCUUUACGCGGCGCGCAUGACUGCAAUACUUGGCUGAGCAGUUCAUAGCCGUGUCAGCUUUCCACAGGAUGUGUUUUUUCAACAAGCCCAAGGGGUGCUUCAUGACCCCUUUAAGGGAGUGCUCUACAGCAGCGAUAUUUUAAAACGGUUUAGUAGUGGCCGAGAUGCAAGCAGAUGGAUGUAAAACGGUGGCGCCUCCCCUUCCCCACUUGGGGGCUCUUUCUUUUUUGCCUCGACAAGUGCCCACAAGUAACAUUUGUAUAGCUCGUCAUGUUUUUGUCACAACCGACAACUUCCUCAUCCAUCUUUGCCCUCUUUUCUCUUCGGUAUGGUGCAUUUCCAGAGAAUUCAGCAUAAUCCGGACUUUGCAGGAGUCCUAGAUGUCUUCCCAGUGCUCUUGGCUUUUUGUAUGCUGCAUGGUGCUGUGUGAUGCAAAAGCGCCAUGCGCAUGUGUCAUCUUACUCGCAGCCACAGUUGUCUCCUCUGAGGAGAAAUGUGCGCAGGCUUUUGUCAGAAUUUUUCUGUUGUUUUUGCAGUGUACAUUAGUGAAUACCUUGUGGAUGCACGACUACGAGCAGUGUUUGUUUGCACUGCCGAAACCUGGUGAGGGGCCCUUUAAGGGAUGGUUUGCCUUGUUGAACUUAAUAUUACUGUGCUUGUUGAAAUACACUUCUGCUGCAAGUACACAAUAUGACAAUGCGUUUCCUUACAAUGCAAACCUGUUUUCUUCUCAAAUGUAUGUGAAAUUUUCAGAAUCCACUCUCGACAAAACUUUCUGGACAUGCAAAAACAGCAUUAUUUUUCUUUUUCUCUUAUUCAGAGAAGUCAGACACUAGUUGCAAUUAAAGUUGAUAGAGAAAUAAAAAAUUGUGGUUAUGACAGUGACACCUAAGCACUUGUGCAUGACUGUGAAUGAAUUAAAAUCUAUAAAGGAAACUGUGUGUGAAGUCUAGCAAAUUUUGCGAUGAUUGGUCUGGCAUCGAGCAGACUUUAAUAAUGCAAGCACUCGACACUCGGUGUAUUCUGUACCAUCGCAAAGCCACAUAAGAACCAGGAACAUGCACUGAUUAACAGUGAGUAAAUAAAGGAACCUUUAGCAUGGAGUCAAUGUUUCAACAAGGACUUGUACUUGUUCAGAGCAUUUCCAAAAAGCACCACUGUCGAAAUGUCUCUUCCUAGCUACGGUGUUCCUUGUUUGCCCUAUGUUAGUUUGUGUUGUUGCCAUCUUGCGAUAGCUUUCUCUUGUUAAUAUCAGAUACAUGCGAUUUGUGCGUGUAGCUGUUAGUCUUUCAGUUUGAGCUCUCCAUGACAAACACUUUCCAUUGCACGUGGCAACAUGUGAAAUUGUACUCCACUAAAAGUCCGUUGUUCCUUUAGCCCGAGCAGCAUUUGAACUUUUGACUGGCACAGAACUUGUGCCAAAUAUUUGGUACAUACCUCUGUAUGCAAAAUUUGGUACGUGAUGUGUGUUAGUUUCAUUGCCAAGCUGCACAUGCACAAUGUCUAUUUAAUGUGCCUGAUUUUUUUUUUUAAAUUACCCUUACCUAACAGUGCUUAGAAUACUUUCCUGCUCAAGGAAGUUGUGCGUCCUGCCUGGGAACUUGUUCAUUUAUUGUGUGAAGAGCGCGGUUACAUGCAUCUCCAUUUGGGACAAAAUUGUGGUGGACUGUGUAGCAAGUGAGGAAAGUUUUCCUUUUUUUUUUAUUUAGCAUGAAAUUUGAUUUUCUGUGCUUGGUGCCUGCAGUCACAAUGACUUAUAAUAAAUUUGCAGAUGUCAGAACUGGGCAAGCCA